rnacentral:lncRNA from 1 species
UUUCAAAUAUAUUCACUCGACGCUGAGGACAUCUCUGUUGGUAGGUGCUGUUAUUUCAUUUUUUUCAAGGGAAGAAAAUAAAAUUUGAAACAGUUUCCACUCAGAAUGCCACCCACUAACGAACGGUGGGGUCUGAAACCUGGGCUUCCGACUUGCUGAGCAGCGCUCUCCACCGUAAUACGGCUGCCUGCGGAACCGGCUGACCGGAAGUGUGGCUGUGGGUGGUUUACCGCCAGACUGUGAUGGUGGCGGGGCACGGCUGCGUGACUGCUCAACUCAGCUGUACUUCUCACCACGUGGCAAAGGAUGGACCAAAGGCUGGGAGCAACUGGGAGUGUCUGGGGUGAGAGCUGAAUGUAGGCUCCAACAGGAAGACGGCAUUGAAGCCUGGUUGCUUGUUACUACUCAGAAUGCCAUCUACAAAAGGAAAUUAUGUAAAAAGCAAUAAAGAACCCCUUUUGUUCUUGCAGGAGUCAGUGUUUCAUAACUCUUUCUGUGAUAUCGUCUGUAUAAGUUGAACCUCUAAAGAACCUUAUCUAAGUUGCCACGACCUUACUCAUUACCCUCAAGAAAGAUGAACAAUUUAAAGGGGGAAAAAAGGAAGUGAAAAAAAUGGCGGAUACGAGGCAGAACUAACCUGCAGCUUCCACUCGAAGGGACAGAGCAGAGUGUGGAGACCCACAACUGGAACUUUUUCUCCAAGAACUACCACAGGAACAUACCAAGAAAGCCAAGAGAAUCCACAGAACCUUUGGAGGAAGUGGUUUGUCACUGCAGGCUCUGUGGGACAGCUGAGGAACUGGUCACAAAGAAAAGGAAACAGGAAUUCUGACCUGACCUCCACAAAUGCUCAAAUGCCAUCACCUGCUAUUUUGACACCAAUUUGUCAAGUAGUUCUCAACCUAAAAGUGCAUCACAAUUGCCUGGGUUGCACUUUAUAAAGGAGAUUCAGAAUAGGUUUUGACUGAGCAAGUCUGGGGUAGGGCCUAGAAGUCUGCAAUUUUAGUAACAACCAGGAAUAGUGUUGAUGCAUGUGGUAUCUGAACUAGACUUUUGGAAACAUCAGCCCAGCACAGUGGUUCACAAACCUGAACAUGCAUGAGAACCACUUGACUGGCUUGUUAAAAACCCAGAUUACUGAGUCCAAUCUCCAGAGUUUCUCAUUCAGUAGGUCAGAGGUAGGGCCCAGGAAUUUGCAUUUCUAGCAAGUUCCCAGGUGAUCUUGCUGCUGCUGCUGACAGGGGCCAUGCUUUGAGAACCAAUGUCCUACUAAAACCCAGAAAGAAUGCCUCUUUAAAGCACUGUCGACUAAGAAGGUGGGAUACUCCUUGAGAAAAGAAAAAAGCAAAUGGACACUUACUGAGUAUCUGCUAGGAGAAGGUAACUGGAACAGUGAAAUCAUAUUUAUUUUCCUGGUCACUAUUUUUUUAAUGUUUUUUGCAAAUGAGAAAUCCAAAGGUUGGACCAGUUAUGUGACAUCUUUAAAGGUCACAUAGCCAACUAAAAUGUUUUAAACUAUUUUUUUCUUUGAGUUUUUGUAGUUGUACAUGCAGCAAUUUCAGGUAGCUUUUUGCCCAGUGAGGUUGCUUUUUAUUGCUUCCCAACUCAGCGUAGACUUACCUAGUUUUGCCCUGUGGAAGGAAAAUGGCAUUCCUGCCACACAUUCUGUCUGAUAGAGGAACAUCUCUUCUGGAAAGAUGGCUGGAUUUCCUCGCUUACAUUUACCAUUGCAGGGGCCAAGAAGUUUAUCCAGAAGGAGAAACCAUCAUACAAUUAGCAAGUCAAGUCAUAAGGCACUGAUUUCAUUUGUUUAUUUAUUUAUUCAUUUAUUAGUUCAGUUAAAUAUUUACUGAGAACAACUGUAUUUGCUGGGUAUUGUGCAAGGCACUAAUAAUAACAGAAAGACUCCUGGAGUGAAGCCAGGAAAUCAGAACUGUGUGCUGUCUUCUCCAUGUGCAAGCUUUGCUCCUGGGUAAGUCCCUUCAGCUUUUGGGGUGUCAAUCAUCUCCCUAUUAGCAAAUGCAGGGAGGGAGAUGAGCCUUGGUGAUUUCCAAGGCUCCUUUAUUUUUGUACACUCCUGAGUUUAUAGUUCAACUCUCACAAUGUACCUAACCUUUGUGCUGUGGAGUGAGUGUGUGGAAGGAAAGCUUGGGGGAUGUAGAAAGAACAAGAGGCAGAAGGAAGAGUCCUUGUCUUUGGAAACAGAGAAGAUCAAAAUAUGCACAUAUGACAUCACUGGAGAAACUUACAAUUCAGCAUCUAACCCCAAAGGAGCUCAGGUAGUACAGCUUCUUAUGGGAGGAGCGGUCAAGGAUGGGGGAAUAUAAAUGAGGGAGUGAGGAAUGGUGAGGGGUGGACUAAAGGAAUGGAGAGAGGAGUGAAUUCAGCAAAUGUGACCUCAGAAGCAGAAACUUUUCUGAUUUCACUCCCCUUCACAGGCCAGCGUCCUCUUUCCUGUGUUGGUCACAUCCUCAAAUGCCUUUGGGGCUGGAUGAACAGUCGGCUUGUGGGUUUUCAUGGUGAUUUCAACUAAUAUGUGGAAGGGAAGGAGGGGAAGAGGAAAGACUCGGUGAUGGCUACAGCAGGCAAACCAUAUGCCACCGCAUGGGCCUGAGGACAAUCUCGGACGUCUUGCAAACAAUCACCCACACAAGUGUCCUGAUGAGUGGCGACCUUCUCAGCGAGGACUGACAACCACACGGGUUCCUACUUCAUGACCAGACCAGGGUCACCAUGGAGACAUUUCUCAUUGGAUCAGCUUAUUAUGCCAUAGGAAACAUCUGAUUGAAAUGGAACUCACUGACCUAAAGCUCCUAAAAAAAAAUUUUCUAGGUCAGUGACAGACAAGUUGGCUGCUUCAAAAAAGGUCCUGAAAACUCAAGACAAUGGAACAAUGCCAAGCAGUAAGAUAUGGAUACAAUGAGUAAAAUCUAAAGAUUGGUUCCUUUAAGACAAAGGGAUCAACAUGUAAUAACUUGGAAAUAUAUAGCAAAGAGAGAGCCAAAGACGUCUUCUAGCCCUGCACUUUGCCUCCUACUAGAACCAGUGGGAAGAUGCUCCAGGAAGUUAGCAGAGUCAGUUACAGUUAACUGCAGCUCAGUGUAAGGAAGAAACUCAACAGUGGAGUCAUUUUGAGAGGGAAUAGGUUAUUCUGAAAAGUAGGGAGUUUCCCUUCCCUAUGGGAGUUGAAUCCAAGGUUGGAUCUUUUUUUUUUUUUUUUUUUUUUGAGAUGUGGUUUUCCUAUGUUGCCCAGGCUGGAGUGUACUGGCUAUUCACAGGCAUAAUCACAGCAUAGCACACCCUUGAACUCCUGGGCUCAAGGAUCCUCCCACCUCAGCAUCCUGAGUAGGUGGGACUACAGGUACACGCCACUGCACCUGGCCUGGAUGAUCAUUAUUAAUGAAUGUUUUGUAGAAGGGAUAUAAACAUGAGAUUGGUAGAUGAUCUGAAUGACUUUUAUGUUUGAGAGUAUUUUAUUCCAUACUCACUGUAGCCUUAUGUUCCCAAUUUUAAAUACAUAUAUAUAUACACACAUAUAUAUACACACACAGUUAUAUAUGCUAAUAUGUUACUUAUGACUAAAUAGUAUUUAUUUUUUAUGUUUCUCUAAUAUCAUUUAUAUUAAGAAAUUAAUUAAUCAAAAAAUCAAUCUUUUGUCAGACCAAAAGCUUGAAAACAAAAUAUGGCCUGUAUAACUAUAUUUCAUGGAAAAAAUAAUAAUCCAAACCAUUUCUCAGUGGCGUUUGUUCCUGGUUCCUUUUCCAGUACAUUCAUUCACUCAUGAAAAAUCAUUUUUGGGCUCAAAUGGUAGAGAAAACAAAGCCAAAAUUCUGAGCAGCAGUCCCAACCCUAGGAAGCUGUGUGGUUAUAUUAUCUAACAUCUAAAGGGCUAUUUAACCAUUCUAGGACUUGGUUUUGUCAUUUGUAAAAGGAGUGAAAUAACAGAAGCUGCCUUACAGGAUCGUUGUAAAGAUUAAUGUGUGAAUAUACGUGAGCCACUUAGAACAAUGGCUGGUACAUAGUAAGUACUAUUUGAGUGAUAGCUUUCAUUAUCAUCAUCAUUCAACAACAAUAUUGUUAUUCCAGGCUUGGGGAGCAUAAACACGAAUAGGACAGGACCUCUUUUUCUCUAAAGAUGCAUAGUCCGGCUAGAGAAAGCAUGUAGGUAAACAGUGCAGGAAGGGGAGAGAAUCACUGUAAUGGGGAAAUGUGCUAGCAACUCCAAAUGGGAGAUUGCAGAGAAGGCUGUCAGAGAAAUAGGCUGUUGAGCUGGGUUUUGAUGACUGACAAGGCAUUUUCCAGGUAGAGGAGGGAAAAGUGAUCUGGGCUGAAGGAUGUCACUUUGUGUUUAGCAAUCCUGAGGUUGCCUUAAAUCAGCCUCAAUCACUUCUGUUGAGUAGAAGCCUAUGCUUUCUGUCCUGCCCUGGUUCUUGGCUGCAGGUCACAAAACAUUUCAGUCCAUUCAAGAAUCCUUGAGAGCUCUCCUGGGGACCUCCUGGGCAAUGCAGAGGUCAGACAGCAGAGCCACAUUCUCAGGGAGAGUGGCACAGUCAAGGGAGAAGACAGGUGAAGAGAAUGUUUUCCUGUGAAGGUGGUGAGCUGAUUGCCUUAGAGAGCGUGAGCUCCUGCCUUAGAGAGCAGGUGAACUCUCUCCAAGAAAGCAAAUGGAAACAAGCAAGCAAAACACGUUUCUUUCUCUUGUGUCUACACCCCCAGCCCCCACCACCCAUGAGUAAAGUGUCUUAUCUAGGUCUUACAAUCAGCCUUCCUAUCCAAUAUUCAGAUUUAUCUGAACAUGAGACCCAACGGUAACUCUUGUCCCCCACGGCUCACGUGAUGUAAAGGCUUACCUGGAGGAUCUCGCCUAUUCAUAGCAUCUUUGUCUCCAUGUCCUUAUCAUCAUGUCCUCUUUCGGGAAGCAAAAGAAAAGACCUUUUGCUCAUUUCACUUACUUGAGGAGACUGUUUCAAAUUGCUAUUUCUAUAUGGCAAAUUUUACCUCCACCCUGACUUAACUAGGUGAGGGUAGAAAAUGAGACCUGUGGAACAGAGGAAAAGCGAAUGCAAGGGGAUGAGCGGCAGCAGCAAGAACAUCCUGGACCAUUGGGGUGAGAUCAAUGAAACCCACACUGGAGCCCAGGCCCUGAUGUCCCCUGAGCUCCUCCUCCACAGCCUGUCAACUCCUGUGUCUCUGCAGUCCUAAAUAAACAAGAAGCAGCAGGUAAUUUUAUUUCCAAUCCAUGUUCACAAGAGGCUUCCUUUACUGGCAUCUUGCUGACAGGACCUUGCCUUACAAUGUGGAGUCACUUUUGCCCAGUUUAGCUCAGACAACUUCCUAGCAGGGAAGUAGGGAGUGGAUGGCUGGCUGGAGGUCUGGAAGGGGGACACACAUGGAAGGGGGUUGUUGUUUCUAUUAAAAAUGGACAGUGCCGCAGCUGUGGUCUGGCCUCCUACUCUCUCUCAAGCUGUAAUCCAAGGGUUGUCCAGUGCCACGGGUUGGCUAUUGAAAACCUAAGUUGUUGAAUCACCUUUGAAAACAGACUCAAAUUCAGACUGAUCAGCCCAGAGCAGAAUUCUGUUGGGCAUGUUCCCCAGGCAAAACUGUUGAGUAGAGAUGUAAAAAAAAAAAAUUCUAGAAACUGAAACAUCAUGAGAGCCACUUUACAGCAAAUCUAAUUACUUCCCAUUGUUUACAAUCACUGUCACAAAUGAUUAUCAUUUGUUAAAUAUUUGCUGAAUUCACUUCUCACUUCUCUCUUAGGAGUUGAUUUGGGUUUAGUCAUGGAUGGCUCCCUACUCUCUCUUCGUAUUGAAGCUCAUUUUAUCCAAGAUGUUAUACAGAUGAGGGACUUACUGCUAACCUUGUUCUCAGGGAAGCUCCAAACUAAAGAAUCAAAAAAUAUGAUAAACUUGGGCCAAAAAUCCCAUCCACAGUUAUGGGAAUACCAUGACUGGGCAUAUGAGACACCUGAUUUUCAGCCUAAGGAAGCACCAUCGGCGAGACAUACAGUAUCACAAUCUGGCUAUAUUUUAUGCUCCCUUUCCAUCAGUCUGGGAUAAAUUGUGUGUGUCAAGUUCGGCAAGCAUGGGUGAGCUAAAUGGAGCUGUUAGCUGUCUUUUCAACAUAUUUAUCUGUUUCAUUGCCUACUCUAGGAUGUCUUUGUGAUCAUUAUAUAGGGAUCACAGAUAAUAGACUAUUUGAAAUCUUACUUCAAUUAAAACUUAAUCCUCAGAUGUCAAUAACAGUGUUUUAUACAUAAGGUUACAAUAAAAACAAUGUCUUUUGUGCAUAUCAUUAAAACAACAACAGAAAAUCAAGAAUAAGAAAUGGCCUGAACAUUUUCUAAAACAAGAUGCUCUACUAUGUCGUGUACCUUGUCACUGUGAUAAAAUUAUGGUUAUUUCAAUAUCUAUGCAACUUGACAAAGUCACACAGGAUUUAUAAGAAAAAAAAUC